rnacentral:rRNA from 1 species
CAGCAGCAGCCGCGGUAAGACAGAGGAUGCAAGCGUUAUCCGGAAUUAUUGGGCGUAAAGGGCUCGCAGGCGGUUUCUUAAGUCUGAUGUGAAAGCCCCCGGCUCAACCGGGGAGGGUCACUGGAAACUGGGAAACUUGAGUGCAGAAGAGGAGAGUGGAAUUCCACGUGUAGCGGUGAAAUGCGUAGAGAUGUGGAGGAACACCAGUGGCGAAGGCGACUCUCUGGUCUGUGACUGACGCUGAGGAGCGAAAGCGUGGGGAGCGAACAGGAUUAGAUACCCCAGUAGUCCCUGUCUCUUAUAC